GGGUAAGUCCUGUACGACUGCUCCCUUCCCAACUCCGCCAGGUCUUGAUCGAAGCAACGGUAGGAAGGUUGUAGCGGUGCGAUGCAGAUCGCUUACCUUU
rnacentral:SRP_RNA from 1 species